rfam:Streptomyces vietnamensis strain GIM4.0001, complete genome.
GGGGAUGAUCGGUUUCGACAGCGGAUGUCGAAGCAGUGGGAAGCGUGUCGAGGAAGCGGCAAUGAUCUCGUAAACCAUAUGUCGCAACCAAUAAUCGCCAACACCAAGAGCGAUAACUCCCGCUUCGCCCUCGCUGCCUAAUUUUAGGUAACGAACAGAAGCCUCUGUGAGGAGCGUCAGCCCGGGGGUGGUCCCGACCCGGAUCCUGGCGUCAUUAAGGGAUCUAAACCUCUCGCCCCGGUCACGGGGGUGGGAGGGAAAUCAAACAGUGACUGAGCCCGUUCCGGACUUGUCUGGGUGAUCCGGAGGGCUGAGAAACUCGUACCAGACUGCACACGGAGAAGCCCUGAUUCCGCACCGUUGGACGCGGGUUCGAUUCCCGCCAUCUCCACUC